rnacentral:rRNA from 1 species
UACAGAGACCUCAAGCGUUAUCCGGAAUCAUUGGGCGUAAAGCGUACCGAUAGGUGGUCUAAAAAGUCAGAAGUGAAAUCUCAAGGCUCAACUUUGAGACUGUCUUUUGAAACUUUUAGACUAGAGGGGCAAAGAGGAAGCUGGAACGAACGGUGUAGUAGUGAAAUGCGCAGAUAUCAGGAGGAACACCAAUAGCGAAGGCAGCUCGCUGGGACGGUAUUGACGCUAAGGCGCGAAAGCGUGGGGAGCGAACAGG